rnacentral:rRNA from 1 species
GAUUGAACGCUGGCGGCAGGCCUAACACAUGCAAGUCGAGCGGUAGAGAGGUGCUUGCACCUCUUGAGAGCGGCGGACGGGUGAGUAAUACCUAGGAAUCUGCCUGGUAGUGGGGGAUAACGUUCGGAAACGGACGCUAAUACCGCAUACGUCCUACGGGAGAAAGCAGGGGACCUUCGGGCCUUGCGCUAUCAGAUGAGCCUAGGUCGGAUUAGCUAGUUGGUGAGGUAAUGGCUCACCAAGGCUACGAUCCGUAACUGGUCUGAGAGGAUGAUCAGUCACACUGGAACUGAGACACGGUCCAGACUCCUACGGGAGGCAGCAGUGGGGAAUAUUGGACAAUGGGCGAAAGCCUGAUCCAGCCAUGCCGCGUGUGUGAAGAAGGUCUUCGGAUUGUAAAGCACUUUAAGUUGGGAGGAAGGGCAUUAACCUAAUACGUUAGU